UCAGGAUGAACGCUGGCGGCGUGCUUAACACAUGCAAGUCGAACGAUGAAGCCCAGCUUGCUGGGUGGAUUAGUGGCGAACGGGUGAGUAACACGUGAGUAACCUGCCCUUAACUCUGGGAUAAGCCUGGGAAACUGGGUCUAAUACCGGAUAGGAGCGCCUACCGCAUGGUGGGUGUUGGAAAGAUUUAUCGGUUUUGGAUGGACUCGCGGCCUAUCAGCUUGUUGGUGAGGUAAUGGCUCACCAAGGCGACGACGGGUAGCCGGCCUGAGAGGGUGACCGGCCACACUGGGACUGAGACACGGCCCAGACUCCUACGGGAGGCAGCAGUGGGGAAUAUUGCACAAUGGGCGCAAGCCUGAUGCAGCGACGCCGCGUGAGGGAUGACGGCCUUCGGGUUGUAAACCUCUUUCAGUAGGGAAGAAGCGAAAGUGACGGUACCUGCAGAAGAAGCACCGGCUAACUACGUGCCAGCAGCCGCGGUAAUACGUAGGGUGCGAGCGUUAUCCGGAAUUAUUGGGCGUAAAGAGCUCGUAGGCGGUUUGUCGCGUCUGUCGUGAAAGUCCGGGGCUUAACCCCGGAUCUGCGGUGGGUACGGGCAGACUAGAGUGCAGUAGGGGAGACUGGAAUUCCUGGUGUAGCGGUGGAAUGCGCAGAUAUCAGGAGGAACACCGAUGGCGAAGGCAGGUCUCUGGGCUGUAACUGACGCUGAGGAGCGAAAGCAUGGGGAGCGAACAGGAUUAGAUACCCUGGUAGUCCAUGCCGUAAACGUUGGGCACUAGGUGUGGGGACCAUUCCACGGUUUCCGCGCCGCAGCUAACGCAUUAAGUGCCCCGCCUGGGGAGUACGGCCGCAAGGCUAAAACUCAAAGGAAUUGACGGGGGCCCGCACAAGCGGCGGAGCAUGCGGAUUAAUUCGAUGCAACGCGAAGAACCUUACCAAGGCUUGACAUGUUCUCGAUCGCCGUAGAGAUACGGUUUCCCCUUUGGGGCGGGUUCACAGGUGGUGCAUGGUUGUCGUCAGCUCGUGUCGUGAGAUGUUGGGUUAAGUCCCGCAACGAGCGCAACCCUCGUUCCAUGUUGCCAGCACGUAGUGGUGGGGACUCAUGGGAGACUGCCGGGGUCAACUCGGAGGAAGGUGAGGACGACGUCAAAUCAUCAUGCCCCUUAUGUCUUGGGCUUCACGCAUGCUACAAUGGCCGGUACAAUGGGUUGCGA
rnacentral:rRNA from 1 species